UGCACGCCAGCAGUAGUGCCGAUCGUACGCCGUCUCGCGGUCGACCACCCACGGGCGACGUCGUUGUUGUCGUCGUCGUUGUCCACCGUCACCGCUGCCGCCGCUGCGAUAGUUGCGGGACCCCAAAUGUGGCACGCUCAUACCUAUUAUUUUGUUGAUGUUGGUUCCAUGGUUCAGCAGCUCUAUUUUUCAAACGACUAAUGGCAACCGUCAUCUCGAAUUUUUCCGGCUACGAAUUAUGAGUGUGUUCAUUAAAGUGUUACAGUACUUCUAAACUGUAAAUCCUUGUAUGAACUCGUACUUUACACUCAUGUUUGUAUUUACACCACCAAAAUGUCUUAAUUCCGGUUGAUUAAAUUAAAAUGAAGAUUCAAAAAUCAGAUGCCAUGAUUCGGACAAGUUUACUGACUGUACAAAUGAUAAUCAUCGCUUUCAAUCUGGUCCUGAUUGUGGUAGUGAUCAACAAAAGAAAAUGCAAGACGAUUUCAUUGAGUAUGUGGACGUUAUUGGUAACUAUGAUAAUCGGCUCCGUAAUAUUGGAUAUUGAAGUUCUCCUCCAAUACUUUACACCAACAUUACCAUUAUGCCUUUUAGCGCCAUGGCUCCGGGAAUUGGGGUUUGUGAUAUUCUACGGCGCGAUCGAUCUGAAACUGUAUAGGAUUCUGAUGCAAUUUCGUACUAGAAAAGCACACUGUUGGACAAUUACUGACAAAGAUCUGCUGAAAUAUUUAUUGUUUGGUGUUAUUGUGGUAAUUGUCUACCUCACCGCCUGGACUGCAGUUAGUCUUAACUUCUUUAAUGAAGGAUGGGUCCUCCUGAUCCACGUUGAAACCGAAGAUGGCUUAUUGUAUACAACGUGCAAACCUCAGUGGUGGAAUCACGUUACAGAAUUCGGUGAACUAUUGAUUUUAACCGUGGGUUUGUAUUAUGGAAAUUCAGCACGUAAUGCCCGCGUGCAGUUUGAAGAACGGCGUUUUCUCUUUUACGCAAUUAUAACGGAAUUAACGUUUAGUACUAUCCAUAAUGCUAUCCGUACAGUCUAUCCAAUACCAUUCCAUCAGGAUGUGACAUUCAUAGCCGCCUUUUUCCGCAGCCUGUUAACAAAUACUCUUGCACUGAUCAUCAUAUUUGCACCAAAGAUAUGGUAUCAAAAAAAAGUUAACGCUGAACUCCGACAUUCCGCUAUAAAUCAAGAACUUUCAGAAUCAUUAAAAGCUGAUAUGGCAGAUAAGGACUUCAGAGAAAUGAACAUAUCUGAAAUGACUUCAGAUGAAAUAAGGGAAGAACUCAGUCGAGUCUAUGUACAAAUGGGAAUAUUACGGGAUAAAACUGUAUGUAAGAAAAACCCUCAUAUAUCUAAACGAAAAGGUGGAAAGAAAUUGCCACAUAGACGAUUUUCAUUACAGAAGAAAGGAAGCAGAGACAAGUCAUCCAUUAAAAUUCGAAAAAAAAAUAAAGAACUAGAUUCAUCUGAAAUAAGUGAAACAAAUGAGACAAAUGAAAUAUCCAAAUCUCCGGAAGACUCAGUGGUCAGCAAUGAAGACGUUCCUACCGUUGGAAGUGGGUAUGGUAUUUGUAGUUGUAAUUCAACGACGGGAAUACAUCAGACUACUUGCAACGAAUUUAAUGACAGUAAUGAUAACAACUAUGGUGAAGGAACAUCGAGUUCAAAAUUCAACGUGCUGACUUGAUGUUUUUGCCUCAGAGGGUCCACAAUGUCCAUAAAAUAAGUUAGUAAGAGUUGGAUUGUAUACUAUGGUGACCAACUGCAGUUAUAUAGAUGUAGUCCGGUGCAUUCUUUCGAUAUGCAUAUUUGUAUUUAUUCCUGCAUGAAGACGAUGACAGUAAGCCCAAGAUUCAACACAUGUACCAUAAUUAUUAACAAAAUAAUUAGCAAAAUCAACAGUGUCAUCAUUAGCCGACAAUUGGUUUAUGGCUUCUUCAAAAAUUAUUUCAAAGGCUUUCUUGCAAAUCUUGUUCAUGAAGUAAAGUCCUCAAAAGUUUGCACGAUCAACAUGCCAAGUGCAGUAUAAUCCAUGUUUUGGACGUUUCAUUUCAACAAUCCAUGCAUUGAAAAAACUUUCAGCCAUAUCGGACGUGAAUACAUUGGGCUGCAAUUGUCCUGUUAAUGAUUUUAUUUUAGAAUACAAUAUUGACAGUACUGCCUCAUUGAUACGAUUACUAAUCAUAAAGGCACAUGGAAAACAUUCUAUCAUAUCGUCAAGUACUAAGAGUGUUGUUAAAUUGAAGUGAUAGGAAUUCAUACCAUGAGUUUCAUCUAUACAAAUCACAUCAUGUCCAUAUUUUUCCAACAUAGACAGUUGAUAAUUAUUCAUUAUAAUUAACAAGAAAUCAUCUUUUUUUAAGUUUGAAAUUUGUAGAUCUAACUCAUCUUGUUGCUUAUAGUAUAUAAGGCUAAAUUUGUCAUCUUUUUUACAUUUUGAACCCAACUUUCAACACUUAUUGCAUCAUUUGCAUGUAAUAUAGCUUUAUUAUUUAGAUUAUAUGAUGUUUGAAUAUUAUGUAAAUCUUUCUUUGUUAAGAGAUGUAUUCUUUCUAAAGAAUUAUUUGAAAUAUUAUCACGUAUUUCAUCUAAAAUAUGUUCAAACGGUAUAUUCUGAGACAUCUUACUCGCUAUGUUAUCUCGAACAUCCUUAUUUAAUGGUAAAUGUCCUAAAUCAUUAUCAUGGCCUGUAUGAUUUGCUAUAAACUUAAUUGUACAUUUUUUACUUAAUUUACAUAUAGUAACAUCAAUACGAGAUGGGCAGUAUCCAUUAAUUUUAUUCGAACCUUGUGUUUUUAAGUGCCUCAGACUUGUACCUUUUGAAAUAUAAUUUCCAUUCCUACGGCAUUUAUAGUAUAUAAAUGUUUUAUUACUAUGAUCAUUAUCAAUAGAUCCACAAUUUUUUAUGUAACAUGAUUUAGAUUUAUGUUCAUUUCAUUUUUCCAUAAAUUAAAAUUUUCAAUAUUUUCGAAUUCAAGACAUUCUAUGGGAUACAUCAAAUCAGGUUAAACUAUUUCUAUUGAAUGGGCAAUUGCUUUAUGUUCAUUGAGAUUUUUUAUAUGGCAAAAUGAUUUGUCACAUUCGCUACAGGAGAACACAUAUAAUUCCUUGUUUUUUAUUCUUUUGGUUGGUGCUAUACUGUCAAUAUCUGUUAAGGGAUGUUUUUUUUUAAUAUGAGCUCUAAGUUUUUUUAAGAACUUAAAUUGAUUUCCACACUCAGUACAAGUAACUGUAUUUUCAGACAUGUUUGAAUGUUUGAUAAAACCUAGUAAAAUUUAAAUUUUGUUUAACUUAUUUACUAAUUUUAACUGUAAUAUAUUUUAACUUACUCUUAAAUAUGUCAACCCAAAAUGUACACAAUUCACUUAAAUAAAAAAAUGUAUGUAUAACUUAAGCAUAUAACUGUAAUAAAGUAGUAUUCAAGUGUCAAAUAAUUAUAAAAGUUACCGAACUCUCUGUUUGUAUAAUUUAGAACAAGUGUAGUGAAGAUACCUUUGUACUUCUAUACACCUUUGUACCGUACCUUUGAUAGAUCUAUACUCCCAAGUCCUAGGAUUUGGGAAUCAUAAAACUGAUAAAUUUUUCAUGGUAGGGCUCUAAUCUUGGUAAUAAAUUAGAUAAUUAAAUACUAUACUGUAUACUUUCAUACAGCUAUUUAUAAAACAUUUAUUAGGAAAAUGUUAUAGCUCCAUAACAGGGGUAUGCAACUUUCUUAUAUCAAUAGCCAAAGAAUAAGAUAAAUGCAAGUGGUGGGUGUAUAGUUGGGUUAUAAACAAAUCAACAAAUCAAAUUUUCAGGAACUUAUGAUUUGGAUAUUUUAUUCAUAACCUAUCGGCGCGGCGAUGGCCACCACAGUCAAACCCUGGUUUUGUUCGUUUCGAAAUUUAUGGGUAGCCAUGUCGUAUCCAAUUAUGUUGGUGAUAUUUGAUGGCCCAUCUCUCAAUGUUAUAAGCUCGAAAUGGCAAUUAGUGUGCUUAAAUGCACCUGCAAACAAAAAAAAACAUAAAUAUAAAGAAACAAAAAAAUUAUUGGGCGGUUUAAUUACAAAUUAUCUGGGCUCAUUACUUAUGCGCUAAAAAAAAGGGAAUAUGUGCAAUGUGCAUAAUGUACAAACUUAAUUAAUAAAUAAUAAUAUCGUAUCAAUAAAAUAUUUAAAGGAAAAUUGUACUUUAAAUAUAUGUAUUUUUUUAGUGUAAUAUGGGCGUGCAAUUAUUUUUUAGAGUACAUAAAACUAUUGGUAAACGGAAAAAAGUCCCCGGUAAGAAAGUCCCACGGAAAAAAAGUUUCCGUUAGAAGUAUAAAUAAAACGAUAUUUCCACUAUACUUGUUAUUUUAUUUAUAAAAUAAAUUUGGUUGACAAAUCUUAUCAUCUGUAGAUAGUACAUGACAAUUAAUUGACAAAAUCUUUAGUUUGACAGUUACACACAGUACCAUAUACAGAUACAUAUCAUACGUAUCUAGUUUCGUAUCUAGUUUCGUAUUAGUUUCGAGUUGUACGCGAGUGUAGUUUAGGUGUUUAAUCAUGGAACUUCUUAAACCAAACAAGGGAAAUCAUAAAAUUGCCCUAUACGGGUAUACUUAUACUAUAAAAAAGAUAUGCCAAAAUAUAAUGUGAUGAAAAUGUUCCAAAAAAAUGUCAAUGAAAUGUACAGCAAUGUUAAUUACCAAUUUGAAAAUGAAAAAAAUCAUACGAUUUGAAGAAGAACACUGUCAUGAUGCUAAUAAAGGUGCAAUGGGAGCAAUGAAAAUCAAACAAACGAUAAAGGAAUGUUCACUUCAGACUUCAAACAAUCUAGCACAAAUUUUUACUCAAGCUGUACAAAAUGUACCAAAAGAGAUAUUAAUUAAAUUACCAUCCGAAGAUUCAAUAAAAAGAAGUAUUCGUAACCAAAGAAGCAGUUUAAACCCAAAAACCAAAUAGUCUACAAGAACUUAUUAUUGAAGGUAAUUUACAUUACCUAUUAUUAUAAUAAUUUAUAAAUGACUUGGUUUACUACAAAAUAGUUUUU